rnacentral:rRNA from 1 species
GGGCCCGCACAAGCGGUGGAGCAUGUGGUUUAAUUCGAUGCAACGCGAAGAACCUUACCUGGUCUUGACAUCCUGCGAACUUUCUAGAGAUAGAUUGGUGCCUUCGGGAACGCAGUGACAGGUGCUGCACGGCUGUCGUCAGCUCGUGUUGUGAAAUGUUGGGUUAAGUCCCGCAACGAGCGCAACCCCUAUUGAUAGUUACCAUCAUUAAGUUGGGUACUCUAUUGAGACUGCCGCUGACAAGGCGGAGGAAGGUGGGGACGACGUCAAGUCAUCAUGGCCCUUACGACCAGGGCUACACACGUGCUACAAUGGGUAUUACAGAGGGCUGCGAAGGUGCGAGCUGGAGCGAAACUCAGAAAGGUACUCUUAGUCCGGAUUGCAGUCUGCAACUCGACUGCAUGAAGUCGGAAUCGCUAGUAAUCGCAGGU